rnacentral:rRNA from 1 species
AACGAACGCUGGCGGCAGGCUUAACACAUGCAAGUCGAACGCCCCGCAAGGGGAGUGGCAGACGGGUGAGUAACGCGUGGGAACAUACCCUUUCCUGCGGAAUAGCUCUGGGAAACUGGAAUUAAUACCGCAUACGCCCUACGGGGGAAAGAUUUAUCGGGGAAGGAUUGGCCCGCGUGGGAUUAGCUAGUUGGUGGGGUAAAGGCCUACCAAGGCGACGAUCCAUAGCUGGUCUGAGAGGAUGAUCAGCCACAUUGGGACUGAGACACGGCCCAAACUCCUACGGGAGGCAGCAGUGGGGAAUAUUGGACAAUGGGCGCAAGCCUGAUCCAGCCAUGCCGCGUGAGUGAUGAAGGCCUUAGGGUUGUAAAGCUCUUUCACCGAUGAAGAUAAUGACGGUAGUCGGAGAAGAAGCCCCGGCUAACUUCGUGCCAGCCGCCGCCGUAAAAC